GAUGAACGCUGGCGGCGUGCUUAACACAUGCAAGUCGAACGAUGAACCUCACUUGUGGGGGGAUUAGUGGCGAACGGGUGAGUAACACGUGAGUAACCUGCCCUUGACUCUGGGAUAAGCCUGGGAAACCGGGUCUAAUACUGGACACGACCUUCUGGCGCAUGCCAUGUUGGUGGAAAGCUUUUGUGGUUUUGGAUGGACUCGCGGCCUAUCAGCUUGUUGGUGGGGUAAUGGCCUACCAAGGCGACGACGGGUAGCCGGCCUGAGAGGGUGACCGGCCACACUGGGACUGAGACACGGCCCAGACUCCUACGGGAGGCAGCAGUGGGGAAUAUUGCACAAUGGGCGCAAGCCUGAUGCAGCGACGCCGCGUGAGGGAUGAAGGCCUUCGGGUUGUAAACCUCUUUCAGUAGGGAAGAAGCCGGCUUUUGGGUUGGUGACGGUACCUGCAGAAGAAGCGCCGGCUAACUACGUG
rnacentral:rRNA from 1 species